rnacentral:rRNA from 1 species
CCCUUAGAUGUUCUGGGCCGCACGCGCGCUACGCUGAUGCAUUCAACAAGCCUAGCCUUGACCGAGAGGUCCGGGUAAUCUUUGAAACUGCAUCGUGAUGGGGCUAGAUUAUUGCAAUUAUUAAUCUUCAACGAGGAAUGCCUAGUAAGCGUGAUUCAUCAAAUCGCGUUGAUUACGUCCCUGCCCUUUGUACACACCGCCCGUCGCUCCUACCGAUUGAAUGUGUUGGUGAGGAGCUCGGAUUGGCAGCAGUUGGUGGUUCGCCACCGGCUAUUGCUGAGAAGUCCUCCAAACCGCCCCAUUUAGAGGAAGGAGAAGUCGUAACA